AAUUCGCCCUUUUAGCAUGGAAUAAUGGAAUAGGACGCGCGUUCCCAUUUUGUUGGUUUCUGAGAUCGCCGUAAUGAUUAAUAGGGAUAGUUGGGGGCAUUUGUAUUCCGUCGUCAGAGGUGAAAUUCUUGGAUUGCCGGAAGACAAACUACUGCGAAAGCAUUUGCCAAGGAUGUUUUCAUUGAUCAAGAACGAAGGAAGGGGGAUCGAAAACGAUUAGAUACCGUUGUAGUCUCUUCUGUAAACUAUGCCAAUUGGGGAUCAGCUCAGGAUUUUUAAUGACUGAGUUGGCACCCGAAGAGAAAUCUUUAAAUGAGGUUCGGGGGGGAGUAUGGUCGCAAGGCUGAAACUUAAAGGAAUUGACGGAAGGGCACCACCAGGUGUGGAGCCUGCGGCUUAAUUUGACUCAACACGGGGAAACUCACCAGGUCCAGACACAAAAAGGAUUGACAGAUUGAUAGCUCUUUCUUGAUCUUGUGGUUGGUGGUGCAUGGCCGUUCUUAGUUGGUGGAGUGAUUUGUCUGGUUAAUUCCGAUAACGAACGAGACCUUAACCUGCUAAAUAGACCAGCCGGCUUUGGCUGGCUGCUGUCUUCUUAGAGGGACUAUCAGCGUUUAGCUGAUGGAAGUUUGAGGCAAUAACAGGUCUGUGAUGCCCUUAGAUGUUCUGGGCCGCACGCGCGCUACACUGACAGAGCCAGCGAGUUUUUUUCCUUGGCCGGAAGGCCUGGGUAAUCUUGUGAAACUCUGUCGUGAUGGGGAUAGGGCAUUGCAAUAAGGGCGAAUU
rnacentral:rRNA from 1 species